rnacentral:rRNA from 1 species
GACGAACGCUGGCGGCGUGCUUAACACAUGCAAGUCGAACGAUGAUGCCCAGCUUGCUGGGUGGAUUAGUGGCGAACGGGUGAGUAACACGUGAGUAACCUGCCCCUGACUCUGGGAUAAGCGUUGGAAACGACGUCUAAUACUGGAUAUGACUACUGGUCGCAUGGCCUGGUGGUGGAAAGAUUUUUUGGUGGGGAUGGACUCGCGGCCUAUCAGCUUGUUGGUGAGGUAAUGGCUCACCAAGGCGACGACGGGUAGCCGGCCUGAGAGGGUGACCGGCCACACUGGGACUGAGACACGGCCCAGACUCCUACGGGAGGCAGCAGUGGGGAAUAUUGCACAAUGGGCGAAAGCCUGAUGCAGCAACGCCGCGUGAGGGAUGACGGCCUUCGGGUUGUAAACCUCUUUUAGUAGGGAAGAAGCGAAAGUGACGGUACCUGCAGAAAAAGCACCGGCUAACUACGUGCCAGCAGCCGCGGUAACAC